rnacentral:rRNA from 2 species
AAAUUGAAGAGUUUGAUCAUGGCUCAGAUUGAACGCUGGCGGCAGGCCUAACACAUGCAAGUCGAACGGUAACAGGAAGCAGCUUGCUGCUUUGCUGACGAGUGGCGGACGGGUGAGUAAUGUCUGGGAAACUGCCUGAUGGAGGGGGAUAACUACUGGAAACGGUGGCUAAUACCGCAUAACGUCGCAAGACCAAAGAGGGGGACCUUCGGGCCUCUUGCCAUCAGAUGUGCCCAGAUGGGAUUAGCUUGUUGGUGAGGUAACGGCUCACCAAGGCGACGAUCCCUAGCUGGUCUGAGAGGAUGACCAGCCACACUGGAACUGAGACACGGUCCAGACUCCUACGGGAGGCAGCAGUGGGGAAUAUUGCACAAUGGGCGCAAGCCUGAUGCAGCCAUGCCGCGUGUAUGAAGAAGGCCUUCGGGUUGUAAAGUACUUUCAGCGGGGAGGAAGGUG